rnacentral:rRNA from 1 species
GACGAACGCUGGCGGCGUGCUUAACACAUGCAAGUCGAACGGUGAAGCUCCAGCUUGCUGGAGUGGAUCAGUGGCGAACGGGUGAGUAACACGUGAGCAACCUGCCCCAGACUCUGGAAUAAGCGCUGGAAACGGCGUCUAAUACUGGAUACGAGAUCAAGCCGCAUGGUUAUGGUCUGGAAAGUUUUUCGGUUUGGGAUGGGCUCGCGGCCUAUCAGCUUGUUGGUGAGGUAAUGGCUCACCAAGGCGACGACGGGUAGCCGGCCUGAGAGGGCGACCGGCCACACUGGGACUGAGACACGGCCCAGACUCCUACGGGAGGCAGCAGUGGGGAAUAUUGCACAAUGGGCGAAAGCCUGAUGCAGCGACGCCGCGUGAGGGAUGACGGCCUUCGGGUUGUAAACCUCUUUCAGCAGGGAAGAAGCGAAAGUGACGGUACCUGCAGAAGAAGCACCGGCUAACUACGUGCCAGCCGCCGCGGUAAUAC